CAAGCUAUAGCUUAUUUAAAGCUUUUUAGUUACAUUAAUAGGAAAAUAUAUAUAUUUAUUUAGUUUGA